UUCAUAAUCAAUAAAAGAUCCGUUUAGGUCCCUUAACUUUAUUUAAAGUAUCGGUUUGGUCCCUUUUGUUGAUUUAAUUCAAAAAAACGUUAAGUUUAGAACCAAGCUAAUACUAAUUAAAUAAGUUAAGGGAACAACUAAUACUAAUUAAAUCAGUUAAGGGACCAAAAUUUAACGUUUUUUUGAAUUAAAUUAACAUAAAUGACAAAUACUUUAUAUAAAGUUAAGGGAUCCAAACAUACCUUUUAUUAUUUAUGGGA
rfam:Medicago truncatula strain A17 chromosome 5, whole genome shotgun sequence.